GUGACAUAACCAGUGUUUAAACAUGGAUUAAAAAAUAGUGUGUGUACUUUUAUGUAUGUAAGUUAUACUUACAGUAGACGCCCUCUUAACCGACCGACCCUACACCUUUUUGGAUGAUACUAUUUUUAGAUUAGAGGUCAUACAAGUUUCAUAAUUUGUCUUGUGAGUGAUAUUGUUAAUUACAUAUGUAUAUACACAUCGACAUUCGUUUCACUUUAUAUUUUGACUUAAUUUGUUUGAAAAUGAAUCGUGACCCAUGGGAAAAGUUAUAGCGGAUGGACUAUAUGUACAUACUACUUUUUUGUUUAUAGAUCAUAAAAUAUUUAUAUUUUUAAUAGAGUUACAUAUGUAAUGUCUUUCUGAGGGUGGUUUUAAAGAUUUUCGGUUUAACCAACUUUUUGAUUAUCCGACCUAUGGGCAGCUCCCGUCAUGGUCGGUUAAGAGAGCGUCUACUGUAUAUAUGAUUUCAACUAUUUCAAGGAAAUAAAUAGAUUCAAAACAAA